AUGAACGCUGGCGGCGUGCCUAAUACAUGCAAGUCGAGCGAACAGACGAGGAGCUUGCUCCUCUGACGUUAGCGGCGGACGGGUGAGUAACACGUGGAUAACCUACCUAUAAGACUGGGAUAACUUCGGGAAACCGGAGCUAAUACCGGAUAAUAUAUUGAACCGCAUGGUUCAAUAGUGAAAGACGGUUUUGCUGUCACUUAUAGAUGGAUCCGCGCCGCAUUAGCUAGUUGGUAAGGUAACGGCUUACCAAGGCAACGAUGCGUAGCCGACCUGAGAGGGUGAUCGGCCACACUGGAACUGAGACACGGUCCAGACUCCUACGGGAGGCAGCAGUAAGGAAUCUUCCGCAAUGGGCGAAAGCCUGACGGAGCAACGCCGCGUGAGUGAUGAAGGUCUUCGGAUCGUAAAACUCUGUUAUUAGGGAAGAACAAAUGUGUAAGUAACUAUGCACGUCUUGACGGUACCUAAUCAGAAAGCCACGGCUAACUACGUG
rnacentral:rRNA from 1 species